rnacentral:rRNA from 1 species
CCUACGGGUGGCUGCAGUGAGGAAUAUUGGUCCAUGGGCGAGAGCCUGAACCAGCCAAGUCGCGUGAAGGAUGACUGCCCUACGGGUUGUAAACUUCUUUUAUCAAGGAAUAAAGUGAGGCACGUGUGCCUUUUUGUAUGUACUUUAUGAAUAAGGAUCGGCUAACUCCGUGCCAGCAGCCGCGGUAAUACGGAGGAUCCGAGCGUUAUCCGGAUUUAUUGGGGUUAAAGGGAGCGUAGGUGGGUUGUUAAGUCAGUUGUGAAAGUUUGGGGCUCAACCGUAAAAUUGCAAUUGAUACUGGCAGCCUUGAGUACAGUAGAGGUAGGCGGAAUUCGUGGUGUAGCGGUGAAAUGCGUAGAUAGCACGAAGAACUCCGAUUGCGAAGGCAGCCUACUAGACUGCCACUGACAUUGAGGCUCGAAAGUGUGGGUAUCAAACAGGAUUAGAUACCCCUGUAGUC